AUUGAACGCUAGCGGGAUGCCUUACACAUGCAAGUCGAACGGCAGCACGGACUUCGGUCUGGUGGCGAGUGGCGAACGGGUGAGUAAUGUAUCGGAACGUGCCCAGUAGCGGGGGAUAACUACGCGAAAGCGUAGCUAAUACCGCAUACGCCCUACGGGGGAAAGCAGGGGAUCGCAAGACCUUGCACUAUUGGAGCGGCCGAUAUCGGAUUAGCUAGUUGGUGGGGUAACGGCUCACCAAGGCGACGAUCCGUAGCUGGUUUGAGAGGACGACCAGCCACACUGGGACUGAGACACGGCCCAGACUCCUACGGGAGGCAGCAGUGGGGAAUUUUGGACAAUGGGGGAAACCCUGAUCCAGCCAUCCCGCGUGUGCGAUGAAGGCCUUCGGGUUGUAAAGCACUUUUGGCAGGAAAGAAACGUCAUGGGUUAAUACCCCGUGAAACUGACGGUACCUGCAGAAUAAGCACGGCUAACUAC
rnacentral:rRNA from 1 species